AUAUACAAUUAGACAACUUUUUCUUUACAUAGUUUAGCACUAUUGUUUCUGGCAGAAUUCAUCAUUAUGAUCAACUUCAUUAUUUCAUGGAUUUUGUAUUAUCAUAGUGCCUAAAUGUAUAUGCAGGAAAUGGGAUUCAAAUGAAAAUAUUUUUCUGGCAGAGGACCCCCAGUUAGAUUAUUAGCAAAUACAAAUCCCACUGAUUACUGGCCUGAGGAUUCACUGUGCCACAUGUAUGUUUAACAUUAAAACAUUAUAAACAUUUAUAAAAUCGUGCCAACAAUUAUUAGGCUAUUUCAAUAGCUUAGUAUUCUAUGCAAAGGUAUGCAUCAGGGCUUGAGGCUGCCCUACACGUUAUAGUAGACCCAGUUUAUUAUGCAACUUUAUUUUAUGCAACAUGUGUCCAUCUCUUUUUCAGUUGAGGGGUCCUUGGUUUAAAAGCUAUUAAAUACCACUGGCAUAUAGGCCAUAGAGGUUGUUUCAUUGCAAUUUAACUAGCCAGAUAACCUUUGUGAAUCAUUGAGGCACACUCAUCAGUGGCACCUAAGGGGAAAACUGAAAUCGUGCUUGUUAAUUUAAGUGAAAAACUACAACGUUCUCCUCUGAACUCCUUAUCAGUGACUAUUUAAUGACGCAAAGAGGUAGCACUAAGUUAAUUAGAAAUUUAAUUUUUUUUUUUAUCUUUGUACCCUCAUUAUCACAGAAAUUUUAUUACGAAGUGCAUGUACUCUGCUAAGUCUAAUUUCUAACCCAGCAGGGACAAAACCCGCCAUAGAUUGUUCAAUUAGAUUUUCUUUAAACCUAAAACUCUCCGAAAUAGACGUCCCCAUGUUUCCACUUCAUCAUAAGUGAUGUGAUAAAUGCUGCAAUUAAACUGAGCUUUGAUGGUUUUACAUCAGGCCAUCACAGUCUAAAUAAGAAUGAGUUGUCAGGCCUUAACAAGUCUGUAAAAACGGUGCUUACACGCCCACACACUCUUAAGAAGACAGGUCUAAUAAGGCAGAAUAUGUGAAAACACCUGUUACACUGCACCAUGUGCUUGCUGGGCCUUCAAAUGUUGAACAGAAAAGCUAUAGACAUUGAUCUAUUCCCCUUUUUACACACAAAAUAGAAAACAUUUUGGGAAUGCAAACAU